UUUUCGUUCAAUGGGCGCAAGCCUGAACGAGCGAUGCCGCGUGAGUGAAGAAGGCCUUCGGGUCGUAAAGCUCUGUUGCGGGGGAAAAAAGGCAGCAUCAGGAAAUGGGUGCUGACUGAUGGUGCCCCGCCAGAAAGUCACGGCUAACUACGUGCC
rnacentral:rRNA from 1 species